rnacentral:rRNA from 1 species
GACGAACCGAGCGAGCGUUAUUCGGAAUCACUGGGCUUAAAGGGUGCGUAGGCGGCUUUGUAAGUCAGUGGUGAAAUAUGGCAGCUCAACUGUCAAGGUGCCAUUGAUACUGCGGAGCUUGAGUACAGAUGAGGUAGGCGGAAUUGACGGUGUAGCGGUGAAAUGCUUAGAUAUCGUCAAGAACACCUAUAGCGAAGGCAGCUUACUAGGCUGUAACUGACGCUGAGGCACGAAAGUGUGGGAAUCAAACAGG